AACGCACCUUGCGCCCCCUGGUAUUCCGGAGGGCACGCCUGUUUGAGUAUCAUGAAAUCUCUCAACGAAAUCUGCUUUGACCGGCGGACGCCGUUGGACUUGGACGUCUUUUGCUGGGAGCUCCGACUCCGGCUCGUCCGAAAUGCAUCAGCCAAAGGUGCAGACCUCGAAUGCUCGCGGCGUGAUAAUUCCUUAUUCGCCCACGCAGAUCGCGGGGUCGCCUCACCCGGCUUCCAAUCCCUCGUUCUUUCGAGGACUCUUCAGAAUCUGAUCUCAAAUCAGGUGGGACUACCCGCUGAACUUAA
rnacentral:misc_RNA from 1 species